GAUGAACGCUGGCGGCGUGCUUAAUACAUGCAAGUCGAGCGAACGGACGAGAAGCUUGCUUCUCUGGUGUUAGCGGCGGACGGGUGCGUAACACGUGGAUAACCUACCUAUAAGACUGGGAUAACUUCGGGACACCGGAGCUAAUACCGGAUAAUAUUUUGAACCGCAUGGUUCAAUAGUGACAGACGGUCUUGCUGUCACUGAUAGAUGGAUCCGCGCUGCAUUAGCUAGUUGGUAAGGUAACGGCUUACCAAGGCAACGAGGCAUAGCCGACCAGGGAGGGGGAUAGUCCACACUGGAAGUGAGUCACGGGCCAGACUCCUACGGGAGGCCGCAGUAGGGAAUCAUCCGCAGUGGGCGAGAGCCUGACGGAGCAACGCCGCGUGAGUGAUGAAGGUCAUCGGGUCGGAAGGCUCUGGUAUUAGGGAAGAACAUAUGUGUAAGUAACUGUACACAUCAUGACGGUACCUAAUCAGAAAGCCACGGCUAACUAUGUG
rnacentral:rRNA from 1 species